AAAUCAAACUAAAGAAAAAUGAUUUUGAGCUUCUUGUUUCAAGUGUUGCUGAUAAAAUGUUUUAAGCUUUAUCUCUUAAGCUGACUGACAAGGUUCCAGUUUACCUCUCCUCUGUGUUACAUACAUUUUUUCAGCUAUAUAACAUCACUCAUAACACAGGCAUUUCAGACAAUUCUACAAGUCAAGAUCUCAUUGAAUAUUGUGAUCUUAUUCUUAAACAUUAUUAAUACAAAGAGGGGGGAUUACUUCCUGAUAUGAUAAAAUUAGUUGCAAGUUGACGAUUGGUACAUGCUUUACAUAUCCUUAAUUUUGAUGUUCUGGGGGGUGAUAGACUGUCAGCGGUAGAGGUACAUUUUUCUGAUAUUUCCUUUUCUGAAACAACAACAGUUCCUGUGUAGUAGACUCCAGUGGGUUCUUCACUAUGGCAUAAAGAUCAUAUCACGGUGUGAGGCAAGGGGUUUGCUUGUGUUUUUACAGAGGAUCAAUGCUUGAUCUGGCCGCCCAGAAAAUGAAUUCAGACACAAUAUGAAGGAGAACUUCCAACAUCAACAUUCUCUGGAGGAGUCAUUCCAGAAGGUGACCAUCAAAAAACCUCAAAAAAAGUCUGCAUGUCAAACACGGAAAACUGAAGCCCACUAAAUAAUAUUACAACAACUCAUGAGCCAAAAGUUGCACAAGUCAUCUUUUUGUGUAGCAAGAAAUUCCUCUAUCAGUGAACUGUUGAAGAAGAAUUUAAUAGGCAUAAGACUUUCUCUUACGGUGUUUACUAAUAUCUCAGGCAUAAACAUCACUCUUCCCCCUAAAGUGCUUGCUCCUGAUGCCCAAUUAAAUGUACCUGUUAGUACUAUUAUAAUUACUGAUUGUGUAUGUAUUAAUUGUACUCGUGUACCCUCUUAUUAUAAUUCUUCAAUCAUUGUAAAAUAGUCUUCUAGAUAUAGACUUCCAAAUAGUUGAGUAUUUUUGUGUAAUAACAAAACAUAUCAAGCCCUUUCUUCACACUAUCAAGGUGUUUGUGAGGUGGGACGCAUUCUUCCUGCUCUAAUAGACCACCUGAAUAUAAGCGCAGGAGGCUCUCCUAGCUCUGCCAUCUGAUUGUCAUGAAAACUUGAAACUUUGAGAUCCUGUCACUAUUGCAGUUGCAGCUGCAUUCCUCCUGCUGGUUCCUGGACUUGUCGUUGGAAUGCUAAAAGAGAUAUCUAAGCUAGCCUGAGUGUAUAGCAAAACAACAAAUUAAACUGUUUCUGUAUUAUCUGAACUCAACCAAGAACUGAGAGAAUUGCGAGCUGCAGUGCUUCAGAAUCGCGCUGCUGUGGACUGUCUGCUGUUAAAAGAGCAUGUAAGAUGUGAACAGUUUCCAAGAAUGUGUUGUUUCAAAUUGUCUAAUUUUUCUCAAACUAGUCAAAAUCAAUUAGAUGAUAUCCAUCAUAUUGUCAAUAAGUUUUUACAAAUGCCUAAGCUAUUUAACUAGUUUCCUUAAUUUCAUUAGAUAUAACUAGUAAUUGUGAAUCUGCCUUUGUUAUGUUUCUGUAUUCCUAUUCUGUUAAUGUGUGGAUGCAAUUUAACUAGUAGUUUGUUAAAACCUAUAUAUAUAU